rnacentral:rRNA from 1 species
UCGGGUUGUAAAGCACUUUUGUCCGGAAAGAAAACCUUUGGGCUAAUACCCUGAGGGGAUGACGGUACCGGAAGAAUAAGCACCGGCUAACUACGUGCCAGCAGCCGCGGUAAUACGUAGGGUGCGAGCGUUAAUCGGAAUUACUGGGCGUAAAGCGUGCGCAGGCGGUUUCGUUAAGACAGAUGUGAAAUCCCCGGGCUUAACCUUGGGAACUGCAUUUUUUGACUGGCGAGCUAGAGUAUGGCAGAGGGGGGGUAGAAUUUCCACGUGUAGCAGUGAAAUGCGUAGAGAUGUGGAGGAAUACCGAUGGCGAAGGCAGCCCCUGGGCCAAUACUGACGCUCAUGCACGAAAGCGUGGGGAGCAAACAGGAUUAGAUACCCUGGUAGUCCACGCCCUAAACGAUGUCAACUAGUUGUUGGGGAUUCAUUUCCUUAGUAACGUAGCUAACGCGUGAAGUUGACCGCCUGGGGAGUACGGUCGCAAGAUUAAAACUCAAAGGAAUUGACGGGGACCCGCACAAGCGGUGGAUGAUGUGGAUUAAUUCGAUGCAACGCGAAAAACCUUACCUACCCUUGACAUGGUCGGAACCCUGCUG